rnacentral:rRNA from 1 species
ACCCUUCGGGGUGUGACUGCGUACCUUUUGUAUAAUGGGUCAGCGACUUAUAUUCUGUAGCAAGGUUAACCGAAUAGGGGAGCCGAAGGGAAACCGAGUCUUAAUUGGGCGCUAAGUUGCAGGGUAUAGACCCGAAACCCGGUGAUCUAGCCAUGGGCAGGUUGAAGGUUGGGUAACACUAACUGGAGGACCGAACCGACUAAUGUUGAAAAAUUAGCGGAUGACCUGUGGCUGGGGGUGAAAGGCCAAUCAAACCGGGAGAUAGCUGGUUCUCCCCGAAAGCUAUUUAGGUAGCGCCUCGUGAAUUCAUCUCCGGGGGUAGAGCACUGUUUCGGCCAGGGGGUCAUCCCGACUUACCAACCCGAUGCAAACUGCGAAUACCGGAGAAUGUUAUCACGGGAGACACACGGCGGGUGCUAACGUCCGUCGUGAAGAGGGAAACAACCCAGACCGCCAGCUAAGGUCCCAAAGUCAUGGUUAAGUGGGAAACGAUGUGGGAAGGCCCAGACAGCCAGGAUGUUGGCUUAGAAGCAGCCAUCAUUUAAAGAAAGCGUAAUAGCUCACUGGUCGAGUCGGCCUGCGCGGAAGAUGUAACGGGGCUAAACCAUGCACCGAAGCUGCGGCAGCGAACGUGAGUUCGUUGGGUAGGGGAGCGUUCUGUAAGCCGUUGAAGGUGGNAUCACCCAAGACAACUUUGCGGAGUUGACGACUGACGGAGCGAAGCGACGUCAAUGCGUUUUACAAAGUCGAGUUGGCUUAGGGAUACGUUCGUUGGGUAGGGGAGCGUUCUGUAAGCCGUUGAAGGUGGCCUGUGAGGGCUGCUGGAGGUAUCAGAAGUGCGAAUGCUGACAUAAGUAACGAUAAAGCGGGUGAAAAGCCCGCUCGCCGGAAGACCAAGGGUUCCUGUCCAACGUUAAUCGGGGCAGGGUGAGUCGACCCCUAAGGCGAGGCCGAAAGGCGUAGUCGAUGGGAAACGGGUUAAUAUUCCCGUACUUGGUGUUACUGCGAAGGGGGGACGGAGAAGGCUAUGUUGGCCGGGCGACGGUUGUCCCGGUUUAAGCGUGUAGGCUGACUUUCCAGGCAAAUCCGGAAGGUCAAGGCUGAGGCGUGACGACGAGGCACCACGGUGCUGAAGCAACAAAUGCCCUGCUUCCAGGAAAAGCCUCUAAGCAUCAGGUAACACGAAAUCGUACCCCAAACCGACACAGGUGGUCAGGUAGAGAAUACCAAGGCGCUUGAGAGAACCCGGGUGAAGGAACUAGGCAAAAUGGUGCCGUAACUUCGGGAGAAGGCACGCUGGUGCGUAGGUGAAGCGGUUUACCCGUGGAGCUGAAGCCAGUCGAAGAUACCAGCUGGCUGCAACUGUUUAUUAAAAACACAGCACUGUGCAAACACGAAAGUGGACGUAUACGGUGUGACGCCUGCCCGGUGCCGGAAGGUUAAUUGAUGGGGUUAUCCGUAAGGAGAAGCUCUUGAUCGAAGCCCCGGUAAACGGCGGCCGUAACUAUAACGGUCCUAAGGUAGCGAAAUUCCUUGUCGGGUAAGUUCCGACCUGCACGAAUGGCGUAAUGAUGGCCAGGCUGUCUCCACCCGGGACUCAGUGAAAUUGAACUCGCUGUGAAGAUGCAGUGUACCCGCGGCAAGACGGAAAGACCCCGUGAACCUUUACUAUAGCUUGACACUGAACACUGGUCCUUGAUGUGCAGGAUAGGUGGGAGGCUUUGAAGUGUGGACGCCAGUCUGCAUGGAGCCAUCCUUGAAAUACCACCCUUUAAUGGCUGGUGUUCUAACGUGGGCCCGUAAUCCGGGUUGCGGACAGUGUCUGGUGGGUAGUUUGACUGGGGCGGUCUCCUCCUAAAGAGUAACGGAGGAGCACGAAGGUCAGCUAAUCCUGGUCGGACAUCAGGAGGUUAGUGCAAUGGCAUAAGCUGGCUUGACUGCGAGCGUGACGGCGCGAGCAGGUGCGAAAGCAGGUCAUAGUGAUCCGGUGGUUCUGAAUGGAAGGGCCAUCGCUCAACGGAUAAAAGGUACUCCGGGGAUAACAGGCUGAUACCGCCCAAGAGUUCAUAUCGACGGCGGUGUUUGGCACCUCGAUGUCGGCUCAUCACAUCCUGGGGCUGAAGUAGGUCCCAAGGGUAUGGCUGUUCGCCAUUUAAAGUGGUACGCGAGCUGGGUUUAGAACGUCGUGAGACAGUUCGGUCCCUAUCUGCCGUGGGCGCUGGAGAACUGAGGGGGGCUGCUCCUAGUACGAGAGGACCGGAGUGGACGCAUCACUGGUGUUCGGGUUGUCAUGCCAAUGGCACUGCCCGGUAGCUAAAUGCGGAAGAGAUAAGUGCUGAAAGCAUCUAAGCACGAAACUUGCCCCGAGAUGAGUUCUCCCUGAG